CUUCUUCUUGCCACUAGACCAAAUCCUUUUCCUUUUUGCAUGACACUUUUUUGAGUUUCAUUUCUCUUAUUUAUAGAGAAAAUCUUUUGAUGGGGAUGGUUUUUUUUCUCUUUUGCAUUAAUGAUUAGAAUUUAUCAUUGUUAAAUGGUACUCCCUCAAUAACUUUUUGAUUUAAAAAAAAAAACUGUCCUUUCAUUCAUAAUCAUCAUCUCCUUUAUUAUAUUACUCUAAACUGUUGCUAAAGUUCCUUUUUGUAUAUUUUCCCUACAUGAACUUUUGCUGUACUGUGAAAGUUGAUGAACUUUUAUUGUACAAUGUUUUGGUCCAGUAGCUAACAGCCCUUUUAUUUAAUUCUGAGAGGUCUCUUUCUCUUUCUCUUCACACUUUCACAUGUUUCCGUUUCCUGUAGAUUUCUCCUUUCUCUUUCCUUGGUUCUUUUUCCAACUCAUAAUCUUCAUGUGAUUUCAAUUUUUGUUUGUUUUUAUUCCAUCCUUUGUCUCUUUUGAUAUGGGUGACAAACAUCUUCUCUUGCUGAAUAAAAAAUUUCACCUUUUUUCAGUGUAUGCAGAUUCAGGGGAUAUAAAGACAUAAAGGAUGAAUCUUUUAUGGUAUAACAUGGAUAUGAGGAACAGUAUGUCUUCAGAAUCUUGUUUAGCAUCACUUUCUUGUUCUGCCUCCACAUUUCAAUCGUCAGAGGAUUCAGCAGUUGUUAAAUGGUUAAGAUUCAUUUUCCUCUCUCCAUGUCCACAAAGGACUCUUCUAUCUUCCAUUGAUGUG
rnacentral:lncRNA from 1 species